UAUUGUUGGAUAUCACACAGCAUGGAUGGAGCAUGUUCAGCCUGCUGUGAAAAAUCCAAAAUCCCUUAUUUCACAAACAUUUCCAGCAUUAGAGAAACCUUUACAGAAAGAUGGGUGUACACAGGAAAACACUAUCAGCAGCAAUGGAUCGUCCAUUGUUUUUGAACAUUCUGAACAAGC